UACGUAGGGGGCAAGCGUUGUCCGGAUUUACUGGGCGUAAAGGGCGCGUAGGCGGCCACCGCAAGUCGGUUGUGAAAUCUCCGGGCUUAACCCGGAAAGGUCAACCGAUACUGCGGGGCUAGAGUGCAGAAGGGGCAACUGGAAUUCUCGGUGUAGCGGUGAAAUGCGUAGAUAUUGGGAAGAACACCUGAGGCGAAGGCGGGUUGCUGGGCUGACACUGACGCUGAGGCGCGAAAGCCAGGGGAGCAAACGGG
rnacentral:rRNA from 1 species